GCGAGGGUGGCGGAAAUGGAAGACGCGCUGGAUUUAGGAUCCAGUCCCGUUAAAGGGGUGGGGGUUCGAUUCCCCCCCUUCGCA
rnacentral:tRNA from 1 species